rnacentral:rRNA from 1 species
GACGAACGCUGGCGGCGUGCUUAACACAUGCAAGUCGAACGGAAAGGCCCUGCUUUUGUGGGGUGCUCGAGUGGCGAACGGGUGAGUAACACGUGAGUAACCUGCCCUUGACUUUGGGAUAACUUCAGGAAACUGGGGCUAAUACCGGAUAGGAGCUCCUGCUGCAUGGUGGGGGUUGGAAAGUUUCGGCGGUUGGGGAUGGACUCGCGGCUUAUCAGCUUGUUGGUGGGGUAGUGGCUUACCAAGGCUUUGACGGGUAGCCGGCCUGAGAGGGUGACCGGCCACAUUGGGACUGAGAGACGGCCCAGACUCCUACGGGGGGCAGCAGUGGGGAAUAUUGCACAAUGGGCGGAAGCCUGAUGCAGCAACGCCGCGUGCGGGAUGACGGCCUUCGGGUUGUAAACCGCUUGCGCCUGUGACGAAGCGGGAGUGACGGUAAUGGGUGAAGAAGCACCGGCUAACUACGUG